UACGGAGGGGGCUAGCGUUAUUCGGAAUUACUGGGCGUAAAGCGCGCGCAGGUGGCGUGGCAAGUGGCAGGUGAAAGCCCUCGGCUCAACCGAGGAAUUGCCUGCCAAACUGCUGCGCUUGAGGCCGGGAGGGGGAAGCGGAAUUCCUGGUGUAGCGGUGAAAUGCGUAGAUACCAGGAGGAACACCGGUGGCGAAGGCGGCUUCCUGGACCGGUUCUGACACUCAUGCGCGAAAGCGUGGGGAG
rnacentral:rRNA from 1 species